rnacentral:rRNA from 1 species
AUUGAACGCUGGCGGCAGGCCUAACACAUGCAAGUCGAACGGUAACAGGAAGAAGCUUGCUUCUUUGCUGACGAGUGGCGGACGGGUGAGUAAUGUCUGGGAAACUGCCUGAUGGAGGGGGAUAACUACUGGAAACGGUAGCUAAUACCGCAUAACGUCGCAAGACAAAAAAGGGGGACCUUCGGGCCUCUUGCCAUCGGAUGUGCCCAGAUGGGAUUAGCUAGUAGGUGGGGUAACGGCUCACCUAGGCGACGAUCCCUAGCUGGUCUGAGAGGAUGACCAGCCACACUGGAACUGAGACACGGUCCAGACUCCUACGGGAGGCAGCAGUGGGGAAUAUUGCACAAUGGGCGCAAGCCUGAUGCAGCCAUGCCGCGUGUAUGAAGAAGGCCUUCGGGUUGUAAAGUACUUUCAGCGGGGAGGAAGGGAGUAAAGUUAAUACCUUUGCUCAUUGACGUUACCCGCAGAAGAAGCACCGGCUAACUCCGUG